GAUGAACGCUGGCGGCGUGCCUAAUACAUGCAAGUCGAGCGAACAGACGAGGAGCUUGCUCCUCUGACGUUAGCGGCGGACGGGUGAGUAACACGUGGAUAACCUACCUAUAAGACUGGGAUAACUUCGGGAAACCGGAGCUAAUACCGGAUAAUAUAUUGAACCGCAUGGUUCAAUAGUGAAAGACGGUUUUGCUGUCACUUAUAGAUGGAUCCGCGCCGCAUUAGCUAGUUGGUAAGGUAACGGCUUACCAAGGCAACGAUGCGUAGCCGACCUGAGAGGGUGAGCGGCCACACUGGAACUGAGACACGGUCCAGACUCCUACGGGAGGCAGCAGUAGGGAAUCUUCCGCAAUGGGCGAAAGCUUGACGGAGCAACGCCGCGUGAGUGAUGAAGGUCUUCGGAUCGUAAAACUCUGUUAUUAGGGAAGAACAAAUGUGUAAGUAACUAUGCACGUCUUGACGGUACCUAAUCCGAAAGCCACGGCUAACUACGUG
rnacentral:rRNA from 1 species